rnacentral:rRNA from 1 species
UUAGACUAGGGAUUAGAUACCCUAUUAUUUAAAAUGUAAAAUUUUGUUUAACUUGAGUAGUAUUAGUUAUGUUCUUGAAACUCAAAGAAUUUGGCGGUGUUUUAGUCUUUUCAGAGGAAUCUGUCCCUUAAACGAUAAUACACGAUUAACUUUACCAUUAUUUUGUAAUUUCAGUAUGUAUACCGCCGUCAUCAGUUUAUCUUUUGAGAGUUAAAAAUUUUCUUUUUAUUUAAUUAUAUUUUAUGUCAGGUCAAGGUGCAGCUUAUAUUAUGGUGGAGAUGGAUUACAAUAAAUUUAUUUAUAUGGAAUAUUAUAUUAAAAAUUAGUAUGAAAGUGGAUUUGUAAGUAAUUUUAUUAAUUUUAUUAAUUUGAUUUUAGCUCUAAAAUAUGUACACAUCGCCCGUCACUCUCA